rnacentral:lncRNA from 1 species
CCCCGCACCCCUAACACCACCAAAAAGAUUCGCAUCACCUAAAAUGUCCUGCUAGGAAAGCUGUCUAAAGGUGUGAAUCCACUCAGUGACCCACUUGAGAACUCCAGGUCCUGAGCUUGCCCAUCAGCACUGACCACUCCCUCCCAGGCUCCUUGGGGUAACUACCAGGCAAAGGCAAGGCUCGUGACAGCUGUCCUGCUGCAACUGCUGCCUUCCUAGGGGAACCACUGAAGGAGGACUGUGAUGAACCCUGAAGUGGGCCCAGGCCUCAUGCAUGCAGAGGGUACCCUAGGACAGUUGGUGACUCAUGACAGUUACUCCCCAGUCCCCACAGCAUGGAGUCAUCUCAGGUUAGGAUGAUAGAGGAAAGGGAUGGUCAGUGUGCCAUAGGAUGCCUUGAUUAUAACAUAUGUGGAUGACUUUAUAUCUUGUCAUAAAAACUGAUGGCCCCUGGGCUCCAGGCCUUUUGUAGUGUUUGUUUGUUUAGGAGGAAAGGUUUGCUUUGGCAUGCGAUUUUGGAUGGAUCAGUCAUCACUGAGUGGGCCUGCAGCGGGACAGUACAACAUGGUGACACCCUGCACACACACACACACACACACACACACUUGGAAGAAACAUAUUCACAGCUGGGUAUAAAAGAAGGAAGAAGAGGUGUGGUCCUAUUGUCUCCUCUGAGGCUCAAUUCCUAGUGACUGAAAGACCUCUUUCUAAGUUCAAUUUCUUAACAUUUCUAUAAACUCUCCACAGCGUCAGGCUAAGGACCAAACCACUAUCAUGUGGGCGUUUGGAGGUCAUUCAAGUUCAAACACAGGAACAGCUGGAUUGGUCAGCUCCCACUGCUCCAGGGCCUUUCUGGAAGGACACAGAGAACACUGGGGAUGGCAGCUGUCUUCACAAAGAGAGCCCAGAAGGGUGCAAUGCAGGACGCCUCCCCUGUGUUUUCACUCUCACCGUGUAGUCCUGCCUGGCCUGGAGUCUCAGAGGUCCACCUGCCUCUGCCUCUCGAGUGCUAAGAUUACAG